UUAGCAAGUUAUUGGUCUCGGCUCUUGCAAACCUGUCUUUUGUUCAUUGUACCUUUGCUGGUGGCAAGUCCUAACCUCACAAGAAGAUAUAGCUGUCAUUAUUGCCGACAGGCUAUUUGAACGAGUCUCUAAUAAUCUAAUUAUCCUUGAAGUCAACAGUUACUUGUAUUUCAUAAAAUGCUCUAAUUUUCAUACAAAUACAGUUAUUUGUUUAGUUUAAUAAUUAUUUUUAAAUGUACAAACAUGAUUAAAAAUUAAUACAAAGUGAUACGUUUUGUUAUAUUGAAGCAGGGUGGUCUGUAAUGUUUUUUCGUCUAUGUACUCUUUUUAUCUUAAUUUUUACUUAAGUCUACCAGUAAAUGAAAGAAUAAAAAAAAAAAAGAAGACAUAAAGUGAAACAAACAUUCAAGAGAAGCUUUUCAAGUCGACUUCCGUCGUCGAUUCGUUUGUAUAUUGUUUCAAUGGGCGUUCACUACAUUAUAAACCAUUUACACAGCUAUGCAUUUCAGUGGAUAUAAUGUAGUAAAAAAGUAUAUAGAUCAGUAUAAAGUGAUAAUAAAAUAAUUAGCUUUUGGUUUAAAAUUUAAAUAACGUGAUUUAGUUUACGUAAAAAUUUUAAAACUACUGCAAUAUAAUGAAAUGACGUGAGAACUUCUUGAGUAGUUAACCAUGAGAAAUAUUGUACACCAACUUUUCGUGACUACAACACUAUUUGUAAACCUGGUGUCCAACACGUGUUAUCUUGUCUCACGUGUACUCUGUUAGAGGACAAAACAAGACUGCUUGCUACAUCAUUUUUAAUUAAUACAUAAUUCAACCAACGGUUGAAAUACAGUUGAGCAAAAUGAAAAAAACUUACAUGGGAAGAAUGAAGAUAAUAUUACAAUGUGGAGAAGAAUAAAAACAUGAAAAUAGUGGACAAGCGGCCCCCGCUGAGUUCUGGAGCCUAGAACCAAUCCAAUUUUUAAAAAAUAUGGUCAUUAUUUUUCUUUCAAGUUCAAGAAUUAUCAAUAAGAAAUUUGAACAUAUUAGACAGCUGCUGUGUGAUUGAUGAAGAAGAGAAAUCGUUAACAGAAUGAGCUUUCGAAAUUUUGACAAGAUCCAUUUUGGAUGUGAGACGUACACUUAUGAUGGACCGUGUUAAUAUUUCAAGUACAUUAAAAUAAAAAGAGCCUAAAACAUUUAUAAAUUAAAUCAGUGUAGUUCUUGUGAUGGCUAAAAAAUCAACGUGAUGUUAUACUUUUGGAGAUUAAGUGAUUACUGUUGAGCAAAGUGUGUAAGAUAUUU